CACGUAGGCGGCCUGUCAAGCGCUUUGUGAAAUCCCUCGGCUUAACCGGGGAAUGGCUUGGCGAACUGGCAGGCUUGAGGCACGCAGAGGCGCGGGGAACUCUUGGUGGAGCGGUGAAAUGCGUAGAUAUCAAGAGGAACGCCGGUGGCGAAAGCGCCGCGCUGGGCGUGUCCUGACGCUGAGGUGCGAAAGCCAGGGGAGCGAACG
rnacentral:rRNA from 1 species